AUGGCUCCUCUCUCCCAGCCCGUGGGAGCAGCCAUGCCUGCAUUGGAACGCUCUGGCGACAACGGCCCUCCGCCCCACCAGCCCCCUGCGGCGGCCGCCGCUCCGUCCCCGUCGGCCUCCCUCACGGAUCCGCGCGUCCCCCGUAGCUCGCAGCAGCCUGCACCCGCGAGCAGGUUCAGAGCGGAGAAUGGGGGGCGUGCGCGGGUUCCCCGCGAGUCUCCUCCCCUACGCGGGUCGGUGGCCACCCGGCAGCCCUCCGUCUCUGGCGGCGCUUCCGGUCAGCUGCUGGAGUCCCAGGCUUUGAUCCCUGAGGCUCUCCUUGUUCUACCGGAUCUGGCGGCGGCCCCAACGCUACCUUUGCCACGUCAGGCGGGCCGAGUCCCUGCACCCGGCGUUGGCUUGGUGGUGGUGCUCGACUCCAGGCCUGCUUCCUGGUGCGCUGUCAAUGAUGAUGAGGUCCAGAUUGAGGAGUUGGUUCUACAGUCGCCGUUGCCCGACGGGUCUGCCGGCGAUGCACAUCUCCAGCUUGGUUGCUCUGUUGUGAAGGAUGUGGAAGAUAUUGAGGGCCUCACUGAAGGAUGUGAUGACGAGAAGACACCACAGAAGCUGCUUGGUCCAUCUUCAGAGUCGGCUUGCAUCGGCAUCUCUGCUGCCACUGCUGCUCUUGAAGCGGAGGCUGGCUGGGAGCAUGUGGAACGGGGACACCGUUCCGGCCGUGGUGCUCCCCCUGUGCCGUCGAGAGAAUGUCUUGAGCGUAGCCUCGCCUUCAAGCGUUGGGCUCGAGGAAGGUGCUUUCGUUGCCUCGAGCGUGGCCACCAAGUCCGUGCAUGUCAUGAUCCAUUCAGAUGCAUACGCUGUCGUUGCCCUGGUCAUCAUGAGAGGUUUUGUCGUGCUCACUCUCCGGUUGCUCGGGAUCGCUCUCCGGUCGCCCGCGUGAGCUCUCCGGUCUCUCAAGCUCAUCACCAGCGGAGCCGCUCCCCAUUUGUCCAGCCUUGUUCUUCGCUGACCAGGUGUUGGGCAGAGGUCGUGGGCAACUCGUCGCUGCAUGUGUCGGUGCCGCCAAGGUCCCAAUCUAGGUGUCGCCAGGAUUCCAAUGCCAGUGCCUUUUUGGUCUCUGCUUUGGAGUCCCAGUUUGCUUUGCUACGCACGGAGCUCCUUCAGGAGGUUGAGCUCCUCCGCACUGAGCUUCGUGACGCUCUUGCCAAGCUUCAGGUUGCUUCGGUUGUGCCUUUGGUGCCUGAGCUCCAGUCUGGUUCCAUUGAUGAGGUGGAUGAAUGCUUCUUUGGAGAAUUUUCUCCUCGUGCUUUGGAUGGGACGUCGUCUGUCCGUGGCGGUGUGGUCAUCACCGAGGUCGUGGCUCCUGUUCUGCAGAUUAUGCCUGAGCUGCAGGAGCUUUUUGGGGAAUCAGCUAUGGUGCAUCCGAUGAAGCCGGGCUCAUUGGAGUCCUUGGCCUCACCAUCACCGUCAGAGUCCUGCCAGCCGCUCGCCUUUGUGGAUAGUGGAUGUUCGGAUGGUUCUGUCACUCUCUCAUCUAUGCCCAUUGGGCAUGAGGUGUCCUUGAGUGACGAGGUUGAUGAGACAGGUGUGUUGGCGCCUAACUCUGAUGCUCUAUCAUGUGAGCAACUGGAGAUGUCUGAGUCCAUCGUGUCGGUUGCUUCUGUGGUUGAUGAUGUUCAGAUGAUUAAUAUGUUGGCUUCUGAUCCUUUGGAGCCUAGCCAGCCGCUCGCCUUUGUGGAGGAUGAAGGUUCUGAUGUUGCGGUAACCCACUCACACGUGACUGUCAGGCAGGUCUCUGUGCGUGAGAAGGUCGAUGACAUUCUCUUUCAGAUAGAGCUUCAUAGCUUGCUUAAACAUUUGGAGGCGGCUAGCCCUGGAUCUGGCAAGGCGAUUGUGGUGGAGGCUCUUAGGAGCAAAGGAAAGAAGAGUGACGCCACAAAAAAGGCGUCCGCGGCUGCUUAA
rnacentral:rRNA from 1 species